rnacentral:rRNA from 1 species
GACGAACGCUGGCGGCGUGCUUAACACAUGCAAGUCGAACGGUAAGGCCCUGCCUUUUUUGGUUGCUCUAGUGGCGAACGGGUGAGUUACACGUGAGUAACCUGCCCUUCACUUUGCGAUUACUUCAGGACACUGGGGCUUAUCCCGGAUAGGAUCUCCUGCUUCAUGGUGGGGGUUGGAAUGUUUCGGCGGUUGGGGCUGGACUCGCGGCUUGUGAGCCUUUUGGUGGGGUAGUGGCUUACCAAGGCUUUGACGGGUAGCCGGCCUGAGAGGGUGAGCGGCCAAGUUGAGACUGAGAUGCGGGCCAGACUAGGACGGGAGGGAGCAGUGGGGGAUAGUACAAAGUGGGCGGGAGGCGUAAGGAGCAAAGCCGAGUGCGGGGUGACGGCCUUCGGGUUGUGAAGCGAUUUCGCCUGGGACGAGGCGUGAGUGACGGUAAUGGGUAAAGAAGCACCGGCUAACUACGUG